rnacentral:rRNA from 1 species
UAGUAUCAGCGUGUCAGCCGCCGCGGUAAUACGGUAGGGCGCAAGCGUUAUCCGGAAUUAUUGGGCGUAAAGAGCUCGUAGGCGGUUUGUCGCGUCUGCUGUGAAAUCCGGAGGCUCAACCUCCGGCCUGCAGUGGGUACGGGCAGACUAGAGUGCGGUAGGGGANAUUGGAAUUUCCUGGUGUAGCGGUGGAAUGCGCAG